rnacentral:misc_RNA from 1 species
AAGUCGUAACAAGGUUUCCGUAGGUGAACCUGCGGAAGGAUCAUUACCAAUUUUAUAUACUAGUGUGUAUGCCGCUGUCAAAGGUGGUACUACACUACUACUAUUAUGUAAACGUUGAACUAGAUCAAUUGGUGUGGAUUGCUUGGGAAUGGACGAAGCGACAAGCCUCUUCCGGACAGGCAAACCCCACACUGAUACCCUUUUCAAUAUAAUUUACUAGUACAUACUACAAACAAACAAACAAACAAAAGCUAUAAUAGGACUUAUAAACAGGCUGAGUGGGUAAAAUCCUCGGCUUAACCAAUAUAACUAUUACAACUUUCAGCAAUGGAUCUCUAGGCUCUC